UUUAUGGAGAGUUUGAUCCUGGCUCAGGAUGAACGCUGGCGGCGUGCCUAAUACAUGCAAGUCGAGCGAACGGACGAGAAGCUUGCUUCUCUGAUGUUAGCGGCGGACGGGUGAGUAACACGUGGAUAACCUACCUAUAAGACUGGGAUAACUUCGGGAAACCGGAGCUAAUACCGGAUAAUAUUUUGAACCGCAUAGUUCAAAAGUGAAAGACGGUUUUGCUGUCACUUAUAGAUGGAUCCGCGCUGCAUUAGCUAGUUGGUAAGGUAACGGCUUACCAAGGCAACUAUGCAUAGCCGACCUGAGAGGGU
rnacentral:rRNA from 1 species